GGCACGAGCGAGCAUUGCUUGCGAAGUGAUUGGAAGUGGUUCCAAGAAAAGCCUCUAAGCUUCAGCUGUACGAGACCGUACCGCAAACCGACACAGGUGGACGGGAUGAAUAUUCCAAGGCGCUUGAGAGAACUCAGGAGAAGGAACUCGGCAAAUUGAUACCGUAACUUCGGGAGAAGGUAUACCCCGGUAGUGUGAAGCGCCUGCGCGCUUAGCAUGAUGGGGUCGCAGAGAAUCGGUGGCUGCGACUGUUUAUUAAAAACACAGCACUCUGCAAAGACGAAAGUCGACGUAUAGGGUGUGACGCCUGCCCGGUGCCGGAAGGUUAAGUGAUGGGGUGCAAGCUCUUGAUCGAAGCCCCGGUAAACGGCGGCCGUAACUAUAACGGUCCUAAGGUAGCGAAAUUCCUUGUCGGGUAAGUUCCGACCUGCACGAAUGGCGUAACGAUGGCCACACUGUCUCCUCCUGAGACUCAGCGAAGUUGAAGUGUUUGUGAUGAUGCAAUCUACCCGCGGCUAGACGGAAAGACCCCAUGAACCUUUACUGUAGCUUUGCAUUGGACUGUGAACCGGCCUGUGUAGGAUAGGUGGGAGGCUUUGAAGCGUGGUCGCUAGAUCACGUGGAGCCAUCCUUGAAAUACCACCCUGGUUUGUUUGCGGUUCUAACCUUGGUCCGUUAUCCGGAUCGGGGACAGUGCAUGGUGGGCAGUUUGACUGGGGCGGUCUCCUCCCAAAGUGUAACGGAGGAGUUCGAAGGUACGCUAGGUACGGUCGGAAAUCGUGCUGAUAGUGCAAUGGCAUAAGCGUGCUUGACUGUGAGACUGACAAGUCGAACAGGUGCGAAAGCAGGACAUAGUGAUCCGGUGGUUCUGAAUGGAAGGGCCAUCGCUCAACGGAUAAAAGGUACUCUGGGGAUAACAGGCUGAUACCGCCCAAGAGUUCAUAUCGACGGCGGUGUUUGGCACCUCGAUGUCGGCUCAUCUCAUCCUGGGGCUGUAGCCGGUCCCAAGGGUAUGGCUGUUCGCCAUUUAAAGAGGUACGUGAGCUGGGUUUAAAACGUCGUGAGACAGUUUGGUCCCUAUCUGCCGUGGGCGUUGGAUACUUGACGGAGCCUGCUCCUAGUACGAGAGGACCGGAGUGGACGUACCUCUGGUGUACCGGUUGUCAUGCCAAUGGCAUUGCCGGGUAGCUAAGUACGGAAGAGAUAACCGCUGAAGGCAUCUAAGCGGGAAACUCGUCUGAAGAUUAGGUAUCCCGGGGACUUGAUCCCCCUGAAGAGUCGUUCGAGACCAGGACGUUGAUAGGUCGGGUGUGGAAGCGCAGUAAUGCGUUAAGCUAACCGAUACUAAUUGCUCGUGAGGCUUGAUCCUAUAACACUGAUGGUUAUG
rnacentral:rRNA from 1 species